GUAAACUCUUCCAGCCUGAUGCUCAUGGAUUUCUAGUGAAGGUAAGGAAGCAGAGACUCAGAGAGGACAACUGGCUUGCCUCAAUUCCUACCACAAGUGAGAUCCGAAGACACGAAUUCAGCUCUAAUCUCCUGUUGUCCUUUUUUUUUUUUUCUGGCUGCAAUUAUUCCACUGUAACAGACCACUCCUGAGACAGCCAGGUGGGAAGGUGGUCCCUGGAAAAACUCCAACCAGCAUGCGCACUGAGAAGGCGCACUGAGGUGGAGUCACAGAAGUUCCCGCCAUUUGCAAUGGGGAGGAGCCUGACUCCUCCUCUUCCUGUGUGGAACCUGGGAUUCAAACUGCGAGACAGUCCUGCAAUACUACCAUCUUGGAUAACCUCUUUCAAAUCUUUGUAAUUUGAAAAUUUUAAAAGUUAUUGAAUUCAUUUUGUUCUUUGUUUGUGUGUUUGUUUCCUCAGAGAAAGGAAGCCUAUUUAAUGCCAUGUGAAGGCCUCACUCUUUCUUCCUAGUCUUGCU
rnacentral:lncRNA from 1 species